rnacentral:rRNA from 1 species
CAGUCGCCACGGUAAUACAGAGGGUGCAAGCGUUAAUCGGAUUUACUGGGCGUAAAGGGCGCGUAGGUGGUUAUUUAAGUGAGAUGUGAAAGCCCCGGGCUUAACCUGGGAACUGCAUCUUAUACUGGGUAACUGGAGUGCAGUAGAGGGUAGUGGAAUUUCCGGUGUAGCGGUGAAAUGCGUAGAUAUCGGAAGGAACACCAGUGGCGAAGGCGGCUACCUGGACUGAGACUGACACUGAGGCGCGAGAGCGUGGGGAGCAAACAGGAUUAGAUACCCCUGUAGUCCCUGUCUCUUAUAC